rnacentral:rRNA from 1 species
GACGAACGCUGGCGGCGUGCUUAACACAUGCAAGUCGAACGGAAAGGCCCUGCUUUUGUGGGGUGCUCGAGUGGCGAACGGGUGAGUAACACGUGAGUAACCUGCCCUUGACUUUGGGAUAACUUCAGGAAACUGGGGCUAAUACCGGAUAGGAGCUCCUGCUGCAUGGUGGGGGUUGGAAAGUUUCGGCGGUUGGGGAUGGACUCGCGGCUUAUCAGCUUGUUGGUGGGGUAGUGGCUUACCAAGGCUUUGACGGGUAGCCGGCCUGAGAGGGUGACCGGCCACAUUGGGACUGAGAUCCGGCCCAGACUCCUACGGGAGGCAGAAGUGGGGAAUAUUGAACAAUGGGCGGAACCCUGAUGCAGCAACGCCGCGUGCGGGAUGACGGCCUUCGGGUUGUAACCCGCUUUCGCCUGUGACGAAGCGUGAGUGACGGUAAUGGGUAAAGAAGCACCGGCUAACUACGUG